rnacentral:rRNA from 1 species
AAAUAACUAUUAAUGGGAUUUUAUUUACUGUUAAUUGCAUUUUUAUGCUAGUGUAAAUUUAUUUUUAGCAGAAAAGAAUUUUAUAAAUUUUAAUAAUAAUUUUGUGUAAAACAUUUACAUUUGCUAAUUAAUGUGCCAGCAGUAGCGGUUAAACAUUUUAUGUUGUAAAUAAUUGGCAUUAAAGAAUAAUAAUAAUUUAUUAUAUUAAAUUUAUUAAAAUAGGGGUGAAAUCUAAUUUAGUGAAUUAAAUAUUUAAUUGAUUUCUUUGAGAUUUUUAACAACUAGGAUUAGAUACCCUAUUAGAAAUAAUUAAAAUUUAGUAGUAAGUGAAAUUCAUGAAACUUAAAUUAAUUGGCGGCUAUUUAAAUUUUUUAGAGGAAUUUAUUCUGUAAAGGAUCCAACACCAAAAUCUUACUUUUGUUAGUUUUAAAACAGUUUGUAUAUCUCUAUAUAAAAAUAUAAUAUUAUAUUUUUUUAAUUUUAUUGACUAACUAAUAUUUUAGGUAAAGGUGCAGCUUAUACAAAAGAUUGAAAUAAAUUAUAUUAAUUAUUGUUAUUUUAACAAUAUAUCUAUGUAGAUAGGUGUUUAGUAAAAUUUAAAAGUAAAAUUAAUAGAUUAAGUUAAUUUGAAUAUUAAUUUAAUUGUGUACAUAUUGCCCGUCACUCUCUUAUUAGAGAUAAGUCGUAACAAAGUAAAAUUAUCGGAAGAUA